rnacentral:rRNA from 1 species
GACAGUCUCAGUUCGGAUUGAAGGCUGAAAUUCGCCUUCAUGAAGCCGGAAUUGCUAGUAAUGGCAGGUCAGCAUACUGCCGUGAAUACGUUCCCGGGCCUUGUACACACCGCCCGUCACACCGUGAGAGUUGGGGAUACCCGAAGCCUGUGAGCCAACUAUUUAUAGAGGCAGCAGUCGAAGGUAGAAUCAAUGAUUGGGGUGAAGUCGUAACAAGGUAUC